rnacentral:rRNA from 2 species
UACGGAGGGUGCAAGCGUUAUCCGGAUUCACUGGGUUUAAAGGGUGCGUAGGUGGAUUGGUAAGUCAGUGGUGAAAUCUCCGGGCUUAACCCGGAAACUGCCAUUGAUACUAUCAGUCUUGAAUACCGUGGAGGUCAGUAGAAUAUGUCAUGUAGCGGUGAAAUGCUUAGAUAUGACAUAGAAUACCAAUUGCGAAGGCAGCUGGCUACACGAGCAUUGACACUCAGGCACGAAAGCGUGGGGAUCAAACAGG